GAGGGUCUAGCUCAGUGGUAGAGCACAUGCUUAGCAUGCACGAGGUCCUGGGUUCAACUGCCCAGUACCUCCA
rnacentral:tRNA from 1 species